rnacentral:lncRNA from 1 species
UCAACUUUGAAGCCUGGCUGAACUAACAAUAUGUUUGUUUUCUUUGCUCACAGAGGGAAAUUGACCAGAGCCUUGUUUCUUACAUUUGGGUUCAAUAUCAUUGGAGGAAUCAUUACAUACUUUGGUAUCCAAGUCUGUUCUGUGGACUUAAAAAUAUAACAUUUCCUACUGCAAAUUUGUGGAUGCCAGAUCUAACUAUUGAAGAAAGGUAAGUCACAGAUGCACAUAUGGUCACUAAUGAUGAAGAUUAAGUAUAUAUAUUUUAAUUUAUCAAAUGAAUUCGCAAACUAAAAAGGAAUAUAGCCAAGACAAGGUUAAAAUUAACAACUGUUAACUUAAAUAUUGACAUUGUGCUUUUAAACUUCUCUCAUCAAAGAAUCAUCAACUCUUAGAAAUCUCAGCCUCACAGAACCUUGAUAUUCUAGCUGUCUGUCUGUUGAAUAUUAUUUUGAAGUAUUUUGCAGUGUGCUUUGGUGAAGUGACUCCCAGCUGUCAGGCUUUUGAGUUGAGUGCUGAUAACAACCAAGACUAUCCCUGUCCUCUUUAGUCCAGAAUAUGCUGUGUCAGUGAUUUCAGAAAAAGAAUAUACAAUUUCAAUUUGUCUGACCACAGAACAAUUUUCCAAUUUGCUUCAGUCCAUUUCAAAUAAGCAUUGCCUAGACCUAACAGCAUAAAGGAGGACAAGUAGGUCAGUUUUCUUUCUUCCAGAAAAGCAGAGCCAAUGGCAGCUUAAAAAUCAAAACAUGAAAUGUGACCAUGAGAACUUCUCAAGAUGAAAGUUCUCAACUUAUGUAAACAUUUACCAUGAAGCCUCAGCACCCCUUUAAAAAAAUAAAAAUAAAAAAAAUAAAUAAAAACAAAGCACAUAAGGCGCUUGUCCAUGUGCAACAACAACCUAUAAAGUAACAAAAUAUCUGCAUCUGAGUGGCCAUUCUAUCUGGAAUACACUGUGAGAUAUCACAUGAGAAUAAAGGAAGUCUGGUGGAAUCAGUGUGACCAUGGUGAAAAAGGGGGAUAAAGUGGAAGAGC